CGGAACUCCCGCUCCGCGCCCUGCCCGGGAGACCCUCGCCCCCCACGCCGCUCCCCUUCCUUGCUUCCUCCCCCCUACUUGUUUCCUCCCUGCCUGGAAGGGCCGCCGUGCCGCCUGUGCGAGCCCCGAGAGCUGCACGCAGCCCUACCCCUCUCCAGGGCUAUGCCCCUGACAGACAACGUCUCCCCGGCAUGCCGGGGGGAGAAGCUGAGGGGGAGGCCUCUCACCGAGAGGGACCCCGCACGCUGACAGCGGCCCCGGAGAGGCCGAGGCAGCCCCCGCCAGCCUGGCAUCCUCACAGCUACGACACGGUUCUGAGCCCCUGUGCACACACAUGCCGCUCCUCGCCCACGCGCUGACUAAGGAUGCUGUGGGAGGAAGGCUUUGGGUGCGACGGCAGGAGAAAAUAAUAGGCAAUGUUGGGGUUUGCUCGCUGUCUCAGUCAGUGUUGGCAGCAGUAGUACUCCAGCAGCGUGCUGCUGUGGGCUGUGGAGGAAAGGCUGGUGCUAGCAAGCCAGUUCCAAGGCGGUGGCAGCUCUCCUCAAAAGAAGAUAUGGAAAAUUAUUUGGAAUGUGUCUCGAACAGGCUCUCCUUCUGCCUCACACAUCUCCGUGUUCUUCAUAAUCUCAGCAUGUGGCUAGUGGAUGAAGCUGCGUCUCUGAAUCUUAAAGCUGUCCUGAGGUUGGAUACUUAAUGGCUCCAGUGGAUCUUCCUUUACUGUGUUUGUUCCAGGUGAUGAGAUCUUAUUUCAUAACACAAACGGUUGCCAUUUUCUACUAAAUUUUAUUGGAUUUCUCAAACUUAAUUUCUCAAAUCUGCAUUUUAAUGUCAUUUUGCAGUCAUGCCCCGUGUUUGCACAAAAGGUUAACUUUUUAAUGAGAGCAUUUAACUAGCUUUUUUUUUUUUUUUUCUUUUGGCCAGAGUGAUUACUGCAAAUAUGAAAUAACCAGGUCCAGAAGGCCAUUUGAAAUGUCCUCACAUUUUAAUAGUUUUUCAGCACAGUUCAUUGCUCUUUUCCCUUUAAUUAGUUUCAAAUGCAUUUCAAAUGCUAUUAACUCUUCCAUUUUCUAUUGUUUUUUAGCUCUCUAUGCAGACUGAAUUUUGUCUGUCUUAUCAAGCACAGUUAUCUCACUAGUUUUACAGUUCUAGUUCACUCUAUUUUUUUUUCACACUUCUUCUCUGCCUACAUGUCCCAUUAGCAGACCUGCUGUUGAAAUUAUACUAUCUUUCUUUUCUUUUUCAGUACAUUUACUUGAACGUUUUAAUUAUUUCUAGAGACCUUCAUGGUUCUUAAGAGGAUGAUAACUUGCAACAUUAUAAUAAGAUAAACAAACUGCAAAAAUGGACAAUAAACAGAGAGUAGUAAAAGUUUACUUGUGAAGC
rnacentral:lncRNA from 1 species